UACGUAGGGUGCAAGCGUUGUCCGGAAUUAUUGGGCGUAAAGAGCUCGUAGGCGGUUUGUCGCGUCGAAUGUGAAAACCCGGGGCUCAACUCCGGGCCUGCAUUCGAUACUGCGUGGCUAGAGUGCUGGAGAGGAGACUGGAAUUUACGGUGUAGCAGUGAAAUGCGUAGAUAUCGUAAGGAAGACCAGUGGCGAAGGCGAGUCUCUGGACAGCAACUGACGCUGAGGCACGAAGGCCAGGGGAGCAAACGGG
rnacentral:rRNA from 1 species